rnacentral:rRNA from 1 species
UACGGGGGGGGCAAGCGUUGUUCGGAAUUACUGGGCGUAAAGAGCUCGUAGGUGGUUUGUCGCGUUGUUCGUGAAAACUCACAGCUUAACUGUGGGCGUGCGGGCGAUACGGGCAGACUGGAGUACUGCAGGGGAGACUGGAAUUCCUGGUGUAGCGGUGGAAUGCGCAGAUAUCAGGAGGAACACCGGUGGCGAAGGCGGGUCUCUGGGACGGUACUGACGCUGAGACGCGAAAGCGUGGGGAGCGAACAGG